UACGUAGGGUGCGAGCGUUGUCCGGAAUUAUUGGGCGUAAAGAGCUCGUAGGCGGUCUGUCGCGUCGGAUGUGAAAGCCCGGGGCUUAACUCCGGGUCUGCAUUCGAUACGGGCAGACUAGAGUGUGGUAGGGGAGAUCGGAAUUCCUGGUGUAGCGGUGAAAUGCGCAGAUAUCAGGAGGAACACCGGUGGCGAAGGCGGGUCUCUGGGCCGAUACUGACGCUGAGGAGCGAAAGCGUGGGGAGCGAACAGG
rnacentral:rRNA from 1 species